UACGUAGGGCGCAAGCGUUAUCCGGAAUUAUUGGGCGUAAAGAGCUCGUAGGCGGUUUGUCGCGUCUGCCGUGAAAGUCCGGGGCUCAACUCCGGAUCUGCGGUGGGUACGGGCAAGCUAGAGUGAUGUAGGGGAGACUGGAAUUCCUGGUGUAGCGGUGAAAUGCGCAGAUAUCAGGAGGAACACCGAUGGCGAAGGCAGGUCUCUGGGCAUUAACUGACGCUGAGGAGCGAAAGCAUGGGGAGCGAACAGG
rnacentral:rRNA from 1 species